AUGCGAGAUCGACGGUGGCCUUCUACAUCACGCGGGGGCCAUGGCCGGUCACCGCCUGGUGGGUGCUGGCUCGAAGGUGACGAGCUACAAUCCCAGAGAAUCAGGGCUGACCUAAAGCUACCGAUCAGCGUGGAGGAUGCCGGACGGAGUGCUGAGGAGUUUGCAAUAGCUGAAUCAAAGGGAGUGCCACUUGUCCAUGUUGGUCAGGACACACGCUUGGACUAUCGAGUUAUUGAUGUUCGAACACUAGCAAAUCAAGCCAUUUUCCGUAUACAGCAUCAUGUUGAAAACAUUGCUCUUAAAUAUGGAUGA
rnacentral:rRNA from 1 species